rnacentral:rRNA from 1 species
UACGUAGGGGGCUAGCGUUGUCCGGAAUCAUUGGGCGUAAAGAGCGUGUAGGCGGCCCGGUAAGUCCGCUGUAAAAGUCAAAGGCUCAACCUUUGAAUGUCAGUGGAUACUGCAUGGCUUGAGACCGGAAGAGGUGAGUGGAAUUCCCAGUGUAGCGGUGAAAUGCGUAGAUAUUGGGAGGAACACCGAUGGCGAAGACGGCUCACUGGACCGGUACUGACGCUGAUGCGCGAAAGCGUGGGGAGCAAACAGG